AAGGUUGGAUGAGAUAUAUUCUUUCUUUAUUUUAUAAAAAAAAUUUAAUUUUUAAGUUAAAAAGCUUAAAUUUUUAUAUUAGACGAGAAGACCCUAUAGAACUUUAUUUAAAAUAUAUAAUUAUAUUUUGGGUUAUAAUAUAUUAUGUGUAUAUAUUUAAAUUAUGUUGGGGUGAUAGGAAAAAUUUAUUAACUUUUUUAUUUAGAACCAUUUAUUUAUGGAUAAAUGAUCUUGUUAUAUGGAUUAAUAGAAUAAGUUACCUUAGGGAUAACAGCGUUAUUAUUUUGGAGAGUUCAUAUCGAUGAAAUAGUUUGCGACCUCGAUGUUGGAUUAAAAUAAAUAAUAGGUGAAGUAGUU
rnacentral:rRNA from 1 species